rnacentral:rRNA from 1 species
GAUGAACGCUAGCUACAGGCUUAACACAUGCAAGUCGAGGGGCAGCAUGACGGAAGCUUGCUUCCGUUGAUGGCGACCGGCGCACGGGUGAGUAACGCGUAUCCAACCUGCCCUUGUCCAUCGGAUAACCCGUCGAAAGGCGGACUAACACGAUAUGCAGUUCUCAGCAGGCAUCUAACGAGAACGAAAUGUGAAGGAGAAGGAUGGGGAUGCGUCUGAUUAGCUUGUUGGCGGGGUAACGGCCCACCAAGGAGACGAUCAGUAGGGGUUGUGAGGGGAAGGUCCCCCACAUUGGGACUGAGACACGGUCCAACAUCCUACGGGAGGCAGAAGUGAGGAAUAUUGGUCAAUGGGCGAGAGCCUGAACCAGCCAAGUAGCGUGCAGGAUGACGGCCCUAUGGGUUGUAAACUGCUUUUAUACGGGGAUAAAGUGGGCCACGUGUGGCUUAUUGCAGGUACCGUAUGAAUAAGGACCGGCUAAUUCCGUGCCAGCCGCCGCGGUAA